rnacentral:rRNA from 1 species
CCUAAGGUAGCGAAAUUCCUUGUCGGGUAAGUUCCGACCUGCACGAAUGGCGUAAUGAUGGCCAGGCUGUCUCCACCCGAGACUCAGUGAAAUUGAACUCGCUGUGAAGAUGCAGUGUACCCGCGGCAAGACGGAAAGACCCCGUGAACCUUUACUAUAGCUUGACACUGAACAUUGAGCCUUGAUGUGUAGGAUAGGUGGGAGGCUUUGAAGUGUGGACGCCAGUCUGCAUGGAGCCGGCCUUGAAAUACCACCCUUUAAUGUUUGAUGUUCUAACGUUGGCCCCUGACCGGGGUUGCGGACAGUGUCUGGUGGGUAGUUUGACUGGGGCGGUCUCCUCCUAAAGAGUAACGGAGGAGCACGAAGGUUGGCUAAUCCUGGUCGGACAUCAGGAGGUUAGUGCAAUGGCAUAAGCCAGCUUGACUGCGAGCGUGACGGCGCGAGCAGGUGCGAAAGCAGGUCAUAGUGAUCCGGUGGUUCUGAAUGGAAGGGCCAUCGCUCAACGGAUAAAAGGUACUCCGGGGAUAACAGGCUGAUACCGCCCAAGAGUUCAUAUCGACGGCGGUGUUUGGCACCUCGAUGUCGGCUCAUCACAUCCUGGGGCUGAAGUAGGUCCCAAGGGUAUGGCUGUUCGCCAUUUAAAGUGGUACGCGAGCUGGGUUUAGAACGUCGUGAGACAGUUCGGUCCCUAUCUGCCGUGGGCGCUGGAGAACUGAGGGGGGCUGCUCCUAGUACGAGAGGACCGGAGUGGACGCAUCACUGGUGUUCGGGUUGUCAUGCCAAUGGCACUGCCCGGUAGCUAAAUGCGGAAGAGAUAAGUGCUGAAAGCAUCUAAGCACGAAACUUGCCCCGAGAUGAGUUCUCCCUGACUCCUUGAGAGUCCUGAAGGAACGUUGAAGACGACGACGUUGAUAGGCCGGGUGUGUAAGCGCAGCGAUGCGUUGAGCUAACCGGUACUAAUGAACCGUGAGGCUUAACCUU